rnacentral:rRNA from 1 species
UACGGAGGGUGCAAACGUUGCUCGGAAUCAUUGGGCGUAAAGCGCACGUAGGCGGUCCAGUAAGUCGGGUGUGAAAGCCCUCGGCUUAACCGAGGAAGUGCAUUCGAAACUGCUGGACUUGAAUACUGGAGAGGAUCGCGGAAUUCCCGGUGUAGAGGUGAAAUUCGUAGAUAUCGGGAGGAACACCAGUGGCGAAGGCGGCGAUCUGGACAGAUAUUGACGCUGAGGUGCGAAAGCGUGGGGAGCAAACAGG